rnacentral:tRNA from 1 species
AGAGAUGUAGCUCAGUGGCAGAGCAACUGCUUUGCAUGCAGAAGGUCUCAGGUUCAAUCCCCGGCAUCUCCA